rnacentral:rRNA from 1 species
AUUGAACGCUGGCGGCAGGCCUAACACAUGCAAGUCGAGCGGAUGAAGGGAGCUUGCUCCUGGAUUCAGCGGCGGACGGGUGAGUAAUGCCUAGGAAUCUGCCUGGUAGUGGGGGAUAACGUCCGGAAACGGGCGCUAAUACCGCAUACGUCCUGAGGGAGAAAGUGGGGGAUCUUCGGACCUCACGCUAUCAGAUGAGCCUAGGUCGGAUUAGCUAGUUGGUGGGGUAAAGGCCUACCAAGGCGACGAUCCGUAACUGGUCUGAGAGGAUGAUCAGUCACACUGGAACUGAGACACAGUCCAGAUUCCUACGGGAGGCAGCAGUGGGGAAUAUUGGACAAUGGGCGAAAGCCUGAUCCAGCCAUGCCGCGUGUGUGAAGAAGGUCUUCGGAUUGUAAAGCACUUUAAGUUGGGAGGAAGGGCAGUAAGUUAAUACCUUGCUGUUUUGACGUUACCAACAGAAUAAGCACCGGCUAACUUCGUG